CAGAGGUCAUCAUUAAAUCC
rnacentral:misc_RNA from 1 species